GUUUACUGGGGUUUAGUCGUCGUUCUAUUUGUCUGUGUGUUUACUGGGGUUUAGUCGUCGUUCUAUUUGUCUGUGUGUUUACUGGGGUUUAGUCGUCGUUCUAUUUGUCUGUGUGUUUACUGGGGUUUAGUCGUUCCAUUUGUCUGUGUGUUUACUGGGGUUUAGUCGUUCUAUUUGUCUGUGUGUUUAUUGGGGUUUAGUCGUUCCAUUUGUCUGUGUGUUUACUGGGGUUUAGUCGUUCCAUUUGUCUGUGUGUUUAUUGGGGUUUAGUUGUUCCAUUUGUCUGUGUUUACUGGGGUUUAGUCGUUCCAUUUGUCUGUGUGUUUACUGGGGUUUAGUCGUUCCAUUUGUCUGUGUGUUUAUUGGGGUUUAGUUGUUCCAUUUGUCUGUGUUUACUGGGGUUUAGUCGUGUUUCCAUUUGUCUGUGUGUUUACUGGGGUUUAGUCGUCCUUCUAUUUGUCUGUGUGUUUACUGGGGUUUAGUCGUUCCAUUUGUCUGUGUGUUUACUGGGGUUUAGUCGUCCUUCUAUUUGUCUGUGUGUUUACUGGGGUUUAGUCGUUCCAUUUGUCUGUGUGUUUACUGGGGUUUAGUCGUGUUUCCAUUUGUCUGUGUGUUUACUGGGGUUUAGUCGUGUUUCCAUUUGUCUGUGUGUUUACUGGGGUUUAGUCGUUCCAUUUGUCUGUGUUUACUGGGGUUUAGUCGUGUUUCCAUUUGUCUGUGUGUUUACUGGGGUUUAGUCGUUCCAUUUUGGUGUGUUUACAGGGGUUUAGUCGUUCCAUUUGUCUGUGUGUUUAUUGGGGUUUAGUCGUUCCAUUUGUCUGUGUUUACUGGGGUUUAGUCGUUCCAUUAGUCUGUGUGUUUAUUGGGGUUUAGUCGUCUACUCCA
rnacentral:lncRNA from 1 species